GACGAACGCUGGCGGCGUGCUUAACACAUGCAAGUCGAACGGAAAGGCCCUGCUUUUGUGGGGUGCUCGAGUGGCGAACGGGUGAGUAACACGUGAGUAACCUGCCCUGGACUUUGGGAUAACUUCAGGAAACUGGGGCUAAUACCGGAUAGGAGCUCCUGCUGCAUGGUGGGGGUUGGAAAGUUUCGGCGGUUGGGGAUGGACUCGCGGUUUAUCAGCUUGUUGGUGGGGUAGUGGCUUACCAAGGCUUUGACGGGUAGCCGGCCUGAGAGGGUGACCGGCCACAUUGGGACUGAGAUACGGCCCAGACUCCUACGGGAGGCAGCAGUGGGGAAUAUUGCACAAUGGGCGGAAGCCUGAUGCAGCAACGCCGCGUGCGGGAUGACGGCCUUCGGGUUGUAAACCGCUUUCGCCUGUGACGAAGCGUGAGUGACGGUAAUGGGUAAAGAAGCACCGGCUAACUACGUG
rnacentral:rRNA from 1 species